rnacentral:lncRNA from 1 species
CACAUUGCUUCCUCCUGGCCCUUCUGCAGCAUCAUGUUUUCCUCUUAACACAACUGGGACAGAUUCUUCUCUUGUAAGGACGCAGCUGAUAGAGAGAAGGGAAGAUGCGGCCGCCAUUUUGAACAUGAUUCGCACAACUGCCAGCAUCUAUGUCUGCAGCUCGAUUUUUCCUUCUGUGGACUUCCGUACCCUCACUAUCUGCCUAAGUAAUUUCUUCUUAACUCUGGUAUCACUGGGGAACACGGCUGGGACUCACCUGCUGACUGAAGGCUUCAGAGGGCACCUCCUCCUCCCAUCUAUGUCGUCUGCCACUCCAAGAGACUCUCUGGUUCAAUUUCUCCUGAGAAGGAACCUUCCACCUGCCAUUUAGUGGAGAAAGGGCAACUUGGGAUGGAAAUUUUCUUUAUACAGACUUUUAGGUGGUCCUGCUGUUUUUAAAAGGAGACAUCUACCCUCAAUUUUGAGCAUUUCCAGGAGCCUGUUGUGGGACAUCAGCUUGCUUUUCUUUCGCCUCCCACUUUGUUUUUCUUUUUGUGGACACAUGUGUUUCCUCCUCCUCCAUUCUGUCAACCGAG